rnacentral:SRP_RNA from 1 species
GCUGGGUGUAGUGGCAGGUGCCUGUAAUCCCAGCUACUCAGGAGGUUCAGACAGGAGAAUCGCUUGAACCCGAGGUGGAGGUUGCAGUGAGUGAGAUCACACCAUUGCACUCCAGCCAGAGUGACAGAGCAAGAUGUUCCAAGAAAAAAAAAAAAUCAGUUAAUUAAUUAUUUUUUAUUUUUUUGAAACGGAGUCUUGCUCUGUCACGUAGGCUGGAGUGCAAUGGUGUGAUCUCACUCACUGCAACCUCCACCUCGGGUUCAAGCGAUUCUCCUGUCUGAA